UACAGAGGUGGCAAGCGUUGUUCGGAAUUACUGGGCGUAAAGGGCGCGUAGGCGGUUCGGUAAGUCCUGUGUGAAAUCCCUCGGCUCAACUGAGGAACUGCACGGGAGACUGCCGGGCUUGAGUUCGGGAGAGGGAAGCGGAAUUCCGGGUGUAGCGGUGAAAUGCGUAGAUAUCCGGAGGAACACCGGUGGCGAAGGCGGCUCUCUGGUCCGAAAUUGACGCUGAGGAGCGAAAGCGUGGGGAGCAAACAGG
rnacentral:rRNA from 1 species